rnacentral:rRNA from 1 species
AGUGAACGCUGGCGGUAGGCCUAACACAUGCAAGUCGAACGGCAGCACAGGAGAGCUUGCUCUCUGGGUGGCGAGUGGCGGACGGGUGAGGAAUACAUCGGAAUCUACCUUUUUCGUGGGGGAUAACGUAGGGAAACUUACGCUAAUACCGCAUACGACCUACGGGUGAAAGUGGGGACCGGCAAGGCCUCACGCGAUUAGAUGAGCCGAUGUCCGAUUAGCUAGUUGGCGGGGUAAUGGCCCACCAAGGCGACGAUCGGUAGCUGGUCUGAGAGGAUGAUCAGCCACACUGGAACUGAGACACGGUCCAGACUCCUACGGGAGGCAGCAGUGGGGAAUAUUGGACAAUGGGCGCAAGCCUGAUCCAGCCAUACCGCGUGGGUGAAGAAGGCCUCGGUUGUAAGCCUUUGUGGAAUGAAUCUAUCGUAUAACGUGGAUGACGUACCAAGAAUAGCACCGGCUAACUUCGUGCCAGCAGCCGCGGUAAUACGAAGGGUGCAAGCGUUACUCGGAAUUACUGGGCGUAAAGCGUGCGUAGGUGGUGGUUUAAGUCUGCUGUGAAA